UGGGGAAUUUUCCGCAAUGGGCGCAAGCCUGACGGAGCAAUACCGCGUGAGGGAGGAAGGCUUUUGGGUUGUAAACCUCUUUUAUUACGGAAGAAGAAAGUGACGGUACCUAAAGAAUAAGCAUCGGCUAACUCCGUGCCAGCAGCCGCGGUAAUACGGGGGAUGCAAGCGUUAUCCGGAAUUACUGGGCGUAAAGCGUCUGUAGGUGGCUUAAAAAGUCUGCUGUUAAAUAUUAGAGCUUAACUCUGAAAAAGCAGUGGAAACUGUCAGGCUAGAGUAUGGUAUGGGUAGAGGGAAUUUCCAGUGUAGCGGUGAAAUGCGUAGAUAUUGGGAAGAACACCAGUGGCGAAAGCGCUCUACUGGACCAUUACUGACACUCAGAGACGAAAGCUAGGGGAGCGAAUGGGAUUAGAUACCCCCGUAGUCC
rnacentral:rRNA from 1 species